AGGACGAACGCUGGCGGCGUGCUUAACACAUGCAAGUCGAGCGGUAAGGCUCCUUCGGGAGUACACGAGCGGCGAACGGGUGAGUAACACGUGAGCAAUCUGCCCUUCACAUCGGGAUAACCUCCGGAAACGGAGGCUAAUACCGGAUACGACCACCGAUGGCAUCAUCUGGUGGUGGAAAGUUCCGGCGGUGAAGGAUGAGCUCGCGGCCUAUCAGCUUGUUGGUGGGGUAACGGCCCACCAAGGCGACGACGGGUAGCCGGCCUGAGAGGGUGACCGGCCACACUGGGACUGAGACACGGCCCAGACUCCUACGGGAGGCAGCAGUGGGGAAUAUUGGACAAUGGGCGAAAGCCUGAUCCAGCAACGCCGCGUGAGGGAUGACGGCCUUCGGGUUGUAAACCUCUUUCAUCCACGACGAAGCGAAAGUGACGGUAGUGGAGAAGAGCACCGGCCAACUACGUGCCAGCAGCCGAC
rnacentral:rRNA from 1 species